UUUGUUCAAUCGGUGUCUCGAGUCAGAGUUCAAAUUGAUGUGAGCAUAAACCUCACGUUCGCAUGUAAUCAUUGUUUACACAGGGACUUGUGGGUAAUUAAAGGACCUCGAAGAAAUGAGCUGACUGAUGAGAAAUCAAGUGAUUGGACGAACCACCGACUUAGAUCGUAAAAUAUUGGCGUCAAACUAAUGUGCCUUUGGAGUUGUCCACGGUAUUAAUUAAAACACAAAUUUUAAGAAUGAUUUCCACCAAAAGAUAUCAACUCCUAAAGAUUGACUUCAAGUAAUGACAAGAAUUCCAAGUCUAUGAUUAUAUAUCCACAAACAGUCACACAGAAGAUGAAAACCAGUGUUUAUGGAUACCCAAUUACUGGAUUUAUUACUAUGUGAUGUUUCAACAUACUCUCUUCUUUACCAAACAUUGAGUUAAUAUGUUCAAUUACUAAAUGCCUAUCAAAGAGUGACUAUGUUUUUGUUCAAAAGGUAAUAAACACAACACCCCCUGCAGGGUUU